UGUGGGCUGAAUCUCGAGGCGUGAAAUCCUAAUAGACUGAAAAUGAGAUAUUCAUACAUAUUUUGUGUAAAUACAUCUAGAAUAGUCAGCAAACAAAAUAUCUCAAAACGGUCCGGGGGUUGUCUCCACCAUCAUCCAUAAAACAUCUCUGAUAUGCUUAGCAACAUAAGCAAUCAUCCAGUCUACCGCCGUAUUAGUGUCUCUGAAGACAUGUCUAAUUGCGAGACCGAUGCACUCCAUCAGACUGUGA
rnacentral:lncRNA from 1 species